rnacentral:misc_RNA from 1 species
GUGAAUCAUCGAAUUUUUGAACGCAAAUUGCACUUUCUUCGGUGAGUAUGCCUGUUUGAGGGUCAGCCUAAAAAAAAUCGACCUAGUAGCUGUUUUGCGGUGACAUUCGCCGGUAAUUGGGUCAUCUUAAACCUGUGGGUUUUAAUCGGUUUAAAUUUUUCUUUCCGAUUCUACGAACGUUUCUAAGAUUUACUUAUACGUUUAAGGUAUCGAUUUUGAUUAGACGUGGCUGUUAUAUCGGAUCACGUC